GUGCUCACUUCGGCAACACAUACACUAAAACUGAAAGAUACAGAGAACAUUAACACAGCCCCUGCGCAAGAAUGAUAUGCAAAUUCUUGAAGCGUUCCAUAUUUUC